GAUGAACGCUGGCGGCGUGCCUAAUACAUGCAAGUCGAGCGAACAGAUAAGGAGCUUGCUCCUUUGACGUUAGCGGCGGACGGGUGAGUAACACGUGGAUAACCUACCUAUAAGACUGGGAUAACUUCGGGAAACCGGAGCUAAUACCGGAUAACAUAUUGAACCGCAUGGUUCAAUAGUGAAAGGCGGCUUUGCUGUCACUUAUAGAUGGAUCCGCGCCGUAUUAGCUAGUUGGUAAGGUAACGGCUUACCAAGGCAACGAUACGUAGCCGACCUGAGAGCGUGAUCGGCCACACUGGAACUGAGACACGGUCCAGACUCCUACGGGAGGAAGCAGUAGGGAAUCUUCCGCAAUGGGCGAAAGCCUGACGGAGCAACGCAGCGUGAGUGAUGAAGGUCUUCGGAUCGUAAAACUCUGUUAUCAGGGAAGAACAAAUGUGUAAGUAACUGUGCACAUCUUGACGGUACCUGAUCAGAAAGCCACGGCUAACUACGUG
rnacentral:rRNA from 1 species